UUCUUAUUAGUUUAAAGGUAAAACUGGAUAUUCCUAACAUCCAAAUUCAAGUUCAAAUCCUGAAUAAGAAG
rnacentral:tRNA from 1 species